rnacentral:rRNA from 1 species
GACGAACGCUGGCGGCGUGCUUAACACAUGCAAGUCGAACGGAAAGGCCCUGCUUGUGUGGGGUGCUCGAGUGGCGAACGGGUGAGUAACACGUGAGUAACCUGCCCUUGACUUUGGGAUAACUUCAGGAAAGUGGGGCUAAUACAGGAUAGGGGCUCCUGCUGCAUGGUGGGGGUUGGAAAGUUUCGGCGGUUGGGGAUGGACUGGCGGCUUAUCAGCUUGUUGGUGGGGUAGUGGCUUACCAAGGCUUUGACGGGUAGCCGGCCUGGGAGGGUGACCGGCCACAUUGGGACUGAGAUACGGCCCAGACUCCUACGGGAGGCAGCAGUGGGGAAUAUUGCACAAUGGGCGGAAGCCUGAUGCAGCAACGCCGCGUGCGGGAUGACGGCCUUCGGGUUGUAAACCGCUUUCGCCUGUGACGAAGCGUGAGUGACGGUAAUGGGUAAAGAAGCACCGGCUAACUACGUG